GCCUAGUUAGCUUAGUUGGUAGUGCGUCUGCCUUGUAAGCGCUAUUAGGCCGCGGGUUCGAUUCCCGCCCGGGGCG
rnacentral:tRNA from 1 species